rnacentral:rRNA from 1 species
UACGUAGGGUGCGAGCGUUGUCCGGAAUUACUGGGCGUAAAGAGCUUGUAGGUGGUUUGUCGCGUUGUUCGUGAAAUCUCACGGCUUAACUGUGAGCGUGCGGGCGAUACGGGCAGACUAGAGUACUGCAGGGGAGACUGGAAUUCCUGGUGUAGCGGUGGAAUGCGCAGAUAUCAGGAGGAACACCGGUGGCGAAGGCGGGUCUCUGGGCAGUAACUGACGCUGAGGCGCGAAAGCGUGGGGAGCAAACAGG